AGAGUUUGAUCAUGGCUCAGAUUGAACGCUGGCGGCAGGCCUAACACAUGCAAGUCGAACGGUAACAGGAAACAGCUUGCUGUUUCGCUGACGAGUGGCGGACGGGUGAGUAAUGUCUGGGAAACUGCCUGAUGGAGGGGGAUAACUACUGGAAACGGUAGCUAAUACCGCAUAACGUCGCAAGACCAAAGAGGGGGACCCUCGGGCCUCUUGCCAUCGGAUGUGCCCAGAUGGGAUUAGCUUGUUGGUGGGGUAACGGCUCACCAAGGCGACGAUCCCUAGCUGGUCUGAGAGGAUGACCAGCCACACUGGAACUGAGACACGGUCCAGACUCCUACGGGAGGCAGCAGUGGGGAAUAUUGCACAAUGGGCGCAAGCCUGAUGCAGCCAUGCCGCGUGUAUGAAGAAGGCCUUCGGGUUGUAAAGUACUUUCAGCGGGGAGGAAGGGAGUAAAGUUAAUACCUUUGCUCAUUGACGUUACCCGCAGAAGAAGCACCGGCUAACUCCGUGCCAGCAGCCGCGGUAAUACGGAGGGUGCAAGCGUUAAUCGGAAUUACUGGGCGUAAAGCGCACGCAGGCGGUUUGUUAAGUCAGAUGUGAAAUCCCCGGGCUCAACCUGGGAACUGCAUCUGAUACUGGCAAGCUUGAGUCUCGUAGAGGGGGGUAGAAUUCCAGGUGUAGCGGUGAAAUGCGUAGAGAUCUGGAGGAAUACCGGUGGCGAAGGCGGCCCCCUGGACGAAGACUGACGCUCAGGUGCGAAAGCGUGGGGAGCAAACAGGAUUAGAUACCCUGGUAGUCCACGCCGUAAACGAUGUCGACUUGGAGGUUGUGCCCUUGAGGCGUGGCUUCCGGAGCUAACGCGUUAAGUCGACCGCCUGGGGAGUACGGCCGCAAGGUUAAAACUCAAAUGAAUUGACGGGGGCCCGCACAAGCGGUGGAGCAUGUGGUUUAAUUCGAUGCAACGCGAAGAACCUUACCUGGUCUUGACAUCCACGGAAGUUUUCAGAGAUGAGAAUGUGCCUUCGGGAACCGUGAGACAGGUGCUGCAUGGCUGUCGUCAGCUCGUGUUGUGAAAUGUUGGGUUAAGUCCCGCAACGAGCGCAACCCUUAUCCUUUGUUGCCAGCGGUCCGGCCGGGAACUCAAGGAGACUGCCAGUGAUAAACUGGAGGAAGGUGGGGAUGACGUCAAGUCAUCAUGGCCCUUACGACCAGGGCUACACACGUGCUACAAUGGCGCAUACAAAGAGAAGCGACCUCGCGAGAGCAAGCGGACCUCAUAAAGUGCGUCGUAGUCCGGAUUGGAGUCUGCAACUCGACUCCAUGAAGUCGGAAUCGCUAGUAAUCGUGGAUCAGAAUGCCACGGUGAAUACGUUCCCGGGCCUUGUACACACCGCCCGUCACACCAUGGGAGUGGGUUGCAAAAGAAGUAGGUAGCUUAACCUUCGGGAGGGCGCUUACCACUUUGUGAUUCAUGACUGGGGUGAAGUCGUAACAAGGUA
rnacentral:rRNA from 1 species